rnacentral:rRNA from 1 species
GAUGAACGCUGGCGGCGUGCCUAAUACAUGCAAGUCGAGCGAACGGACGAGAAGCUUGCUUCUCUGAUGUUAGCGGCGGACGGGUGAGUAACACGUGGAUAACCUACCUAUAAGACUGGGAUAACUUCGUGAAACCGGAGCUAAUACCGGAUAAUAUUUUGAACCGCCUGGUUCAAAAGUGAAAGACGGUCUUGCUGUCACUUAUAGAUGGAUCCGCGCUGCAUUAGCUAGUUGGUAAGGUAACGGCUUACCAAGGCAACGAUGCAUAGCCGACCUGAGAGGGUGAUCAGCCACACUGGAACUGAGACACGGUCCAGACUCCUACGGAAGGCAGCAGUAGGGAAUCUUCCGCAAUGGGCGAAAGCCUGACGGAGCAACGCCGCGUGAGUGAUGAAGGACUUCGGAUCGUAAAACUCUGUUAUUAGGGAAGAACAUAUGUGUAAGUAACUGUGCACAUCUUGACGGUACCUAAUCAGAAAGCCACGGCUAACUACGUG